GCACCAGUGGCGGAAUCGGUAGACGCGCACGCUUGAGGGGCGUGUGACGCAAGUCGUGUAAGUUCAAAUCUUAUCUGGUGCA
rnacentral:tRNA from 1 species